rnacentral:tRNA from 2 species
AGUUAAUGAACUUGAAAUAAGUUUAUGUUUUGAAAACAUAAUAUAGAAAUUAAAAUUUUCUAUUAACUU